rnacentral:lncRNA from 1 species
GGUUCGGACCCGAGGAACCAAGGACCCCAGCAGUGAACCAGCUGCUGCAGAGUUGUCAGAGUCAGCCAGAGGUGAGUGGGACUAUACUUAAUCUUUUAAAUUAAGAAAAUAAAAUGUUUUAGCAUGUUCAUGCAUCAUGAAUACCAUGUUAUGUAUUAGGGUGAUUGCAUUAGAAUCACGAAUAUGUUGCAUCGCAUUAUUAUUUGUUGAUGAUGGGGAUGGACAUUGCACGACUCACUAGCCCCUUUUACGAAGUCCUGUGGUGCCCUUAAUAGGGCCGGGCAAUACGAAGUCCUGUGGUGCCCAUAAUAGGGCCGGGCAAUAGCUCCGAUUUACGAAGUCCUGUGGUGCCCUUAAUAGGGCCGGGCAAUACGAAGUCCUGUGGUGCCCAUAAUAGGGCCGGGCAUGGAGCUUGGGGACUUUUGGGUCAGUCCAUCCAUGAUGUGAAAUGUUUGUGUAAUGAUGCAUUUCAUUAUGGCAUGAUUUAACUAUUCUUUUUAGAGUUCUACUCACUGGGCAUCUAGCUCACCCCCCUCCCCUAACCCACAGGCUUGCAGGUACGGGAUAGAUAGAGAAGGCAAGAAGAGUCAAGUCUUAUGCAUGUAAUAGCUAGAUGUGGACAUGACAAAUUUGUAAAACGAUGUAUUAUUGAUUAGUCUUUUUAUGUAUUAAUGUUAUUGAGGAUAGAGUUGUGCUUGACCAUAGUAUGAUGAUAAUCCCAUUUGUAUCUUCAC